GAAACAUCUUUCACUGUCAGGACUCUCAGAGCUAUAUAGAAAAUGAGAAGUCAAACAAAAGGCCACUCCGUGCCCAGUAAUAUGGAUACCUACAACCCUCAAAACCAAAGGAGCAAAAUUCUUCACUGUUUAAAACCAAUUACUGAAUUACGACAAAAACUUCAGCUGAACUGCCACUAAGAGUUGAAGUACUUUUCCUUGGCAUUUUCUGUAUUAUCCUUUAUGCAGAGGAAAUUGAUAAACAGUGGGGAAAAAGAGAGGAAAAGAAGCCCUGAACCAACACCCAGAGGACUGUGGCUCCCAAAUGGCAGAAGCAGCUUUGUUUGGAGAUGUUAGCCUUUCAACACUUGAUCUGAUACAGCACCACACUAGCAAAGAAGUUUGCUGCAUCACUCAUCUCCCUGGAGAGCAUCUGUCCAAACUUCCUUGGACACUUUCUUUAAGAAAGCAGACAAGACUCCAGAAAAAACUGUAGCCAAGACUCCUGAGAAGACUCCAGCCAAGAACCCUUCAAAAAGUCCAACCAAGAGUCCUUCAAAAAGUCCAGUCACCUCAAAGAAGUCCUUCCAAAUCAAUAUGAUUGCUAUUUACAAUACAAAUACAUUAAUGUAGCUAUAUUACUCAUCUAUAAUUGAUUGAGUACAAAAUUCUGGGGUAUUUUUGGUGAAAAUGGGGUAUCGGGCCUUGGUUCAGGAACCAAUUCCCCGUUUAUAACAUUGUUUCUUAUGAGAAAAAUCAGUUCUGAGUUACAACGUUUCAACUUAAGACGCGGUUUUCAGGAACCAAUUGUGUUGCAAGUCCGAGGACUGCCUGUGCACUUAAUUUUAUAUGUACAGAUUUCACAUACCUAAAAUUGAUUAAAGAAUGUUACUGUUGCAAAGUAAAGCACAUACCAGCAUCAAGGGUGCCUGGGCAACUGUAUUUUGCCUCCUCCCACAGUGCCAUGAUAGUUUUUCAGUUAUACCAGAGGUUGUCAAC